UCGGACAUAGCAAAUUCUUUCAGCAUUAGUUGCUUCAAUUGCUGCACUAGCUGAGAAUUUCCGCUAGUAAUGAGCAAAUCAUCAACAUAAAUCGAGACAAUAAGUUUCUUAUCAUCUUCAUAACUCUUCACAUAGCGAGUUGACUCAAUCUCACUUCUCAGAAAAAACAAGGUUGAUCAGAUGUGAAUCAAUCCUUAUAUAUGAGGUCCUAGGUGUCUGCUUG
rnacentral:lncRNA from 1 species